AAGGGGUGGGCAAGACCGGUGCCCCCGCCGCGGUAACACCGGCACCUCGAGUGGUAGCCACUAUUAUUGGGCCUAAAGCGUUCGUAGCCGGUUUGGUAAAUUCUUGGGUAAAUCGAACAGCUUAACUGGGCGGAUUCCGGGGACACUACCAAACUUGAGACCGGGAAAAAUCAAAGGUACUUGUAGGGGAGCGGUGAAAUGUUGUAAUCCUACAGGGACCACCAGGGGGGAAGGGGUCUGAUCUUAACGGCUUUGACGGGGAGGAACGAAACCCUGGGGCGCAAACGGGAUUAAAUACCCCGGUAGUCCAGGGGGUAAACCCUGCUGACUUGGGGUUGGAGAUCCUACGGGGGGCUCCAGGGGCCAAGCGAAGGUGAUAAGUCCACUGCCUGGG
rnacentral:rRNA from 1 species